rnacentral:lncRNA from 1 species
AGACAUUAAUCUUAAGUAUCCAGGGAGCCCUAAAACAUUGUAUCCCACUAGCAAGGACCAUGGUAAUUGCCACGUAAAUCCCCUCCAUUAUGUGGCCCUUAUUAUGACCAGCCAGCCAAGGCUUGCCUUUAAAUCAUACCAAUUGAACCGAGCCUUGUAGAAACACUAUCACCUACGCAUACCUCUGCUUCUUUUCAUUAACCUGCUAUCCUCUUUACAAAUGGGAUUCUUCACCCACUCCCUUCUUCUAGAUUAGCAAUGCCCUGUUAAGUAAACGAACACGAAAUUCAAAGGGAAACAGGAGCAAUCAUCAUUACCAGCUGCCGUGUUAAGCAUUGCGAAAACGCUCACGAUUCACAGAAAAAUCCAUGCUGUUCUUUGAAGGCAUUCAAGCCUUAAUAGCUAGCUGGAUGAAUGUUUAACUUCUAGGCCAGGCACUACUCUGUCCCAACAAUAAGCCCUGUACAUUGGGAAAGGUGCCGAGACAUGAACUUUGGUCUUCUCUGCAAUCCAUCUGGAGCAUUCACUGACAACAUCGACUUUGAAGUUGCACUGACCUGGCCAGCCCUGCCACUUACCAGGUUGGCUCUGUAUGGCUAAGCGUUUUCUCCUAAAAUCCCUUGAAAACUGUGAGAAGACCAUAAGAAGAUCAUAUCUUUAAUUCUAUUUCACAAGUCACACAAUAUUCCAAUCAAAUACAGAUGGUUGAGAAAAGUCAUCCAUCUUCCCUCCCCACCCUCCCACAGCCCCUCAACCACUGCCCUGAAACUUAUAUGCUGUUAUCCGCAGCUCCAUCUGGAGCAUCACAGCUACUGUCAACCCUGACGCUCUUUCUGAAAAAACACCGGAUGGACAUCAGAACUAUUUCUUUAAGGAUGUUACUGAGCCACACAGGAAAACUUGCCUUAUGAUUUUGAAUGCACGGAUCUGAUUUGACUAAACAUGAUAACUAGAGAAUCACCCAAUCUACUCCCAUUUUCAACUCUAAAUCAUCAGAGUGUCUCAAAUCCAAAGCACACACAGACCAGCCUGGCCAACACGGUGAAACUCCACCCCUACUAAAAGUAUAAAAAUUAUCCAGGUGUGGUGGCGGGCGCCUGUAAUCCAAGCUACUUGGGAGUCUGGAGGCAGGAGAAUCCCUUGAACCUGGGAGAUGGAGGUUGCAGUGAGCAGAGAUCACACCACCGCACUCUAGCCUGGGCCACAAAUCAACAACAACAACAACAACAAAAAACAAAGCGCACACAGAGACUGAGGUCCUCUUUGGCAUUGAGAAGAUGGCUAUGCAAGUCCCAACUAGCAAGUGCAAACUUCCCAGCUUCACUUCUGCCAGUGUCCCUUCACCCCUUCUCAACCCCACUGGGAGGCAGGAGGGUGCUUGACAAUAACAGCCUUGGCAUCACUCUGCCAGGGUGUAAUAGGAACUGUUACAAUUCUGAGAUUCUGUAAGUGCUUUGAGAUUUUGGAGUCAGACUGCUUGAACUUGAAUCCUGGCCCUCUCAUCAGAGACUUGACUUAUUUUAGGCAAGUUAUAUAACCAAUUUUACCUCAGUUCCUUACCCAUAAAAUGGGUCUAAUGAGAGUACCUACCACACAGAAUUUUGAUGAAAACUGAAUGAGAUGAAGGCCUUUAAGGCAGUGGUCCCCAACCCUGGGGACACAGACAGGUACCAUUUUGUGGCCUGUUAGGAACUGGGCCACACAGCAGGAGGUGAGCAGUGGGUGAGUGAGAUCAGCGUUAUUUACAGCUGCUCCCCAUUGCUCACCUUACUGCCUGAGCUCCACCUCCUGUCAGAUCAGCAGUGGCAUUAAAUUCUCAUAGCAGCACAAACCCUGUCAUGAACUGCACAUGCGAGGGAUCUAGGUUGUGCGCUCCUUAUGAGAAUCUAAUGCCUAAUGACCUGUCACCGUCUCCCAUCACCCCUAGAUGGGAGUGUCUAGUUGCAGGAAACAAGCUCAGGGCUUCCACUGAUUCUACAUUAUGGUGAGUUGUAUAAUUAUUUCAUUAUAUAAUACAAUGUAAUAAUAAUAGAAACACAGUGCACAACAAAUGUAAUGUGCUUGAAUCAUCCCCAAACCAUCCCAGUCCACGGUCUUCCACAUUUUGUCUUUUCACAAAAUUGUCUUCCACAAAACUGGUCCCUGGUGCCAAAAAGGCUUGGGACCACUGCUUUAAAGCCUUUGCAUAGUGCUUAGAAUUGAGGGGGAAAAAAAAAACAAAAACAAUGUAGCUAGUUGCUACAAUCACUAUAUUGGUGAGUUUCAAAAGGAAAAGAAUUCUGUCCCAUUUAUGCUUGAGCCUUGAGUUGCUAACCAAGCCUGACACAAAAUUACUGUUGAAGGGAUGUGUGAGUCCUAAUUGAAAUGAGGCCUCUUAAGGGAAUUGUGGACCAAACCCCAAGCAGGCAGAAAGCCGUAUCUUAAUUAUUGCAAGUAUUUCAGGCAAGGUGUGGAUGGCCAUUUGAAUUCAAGCAGACUAGGACCUGGGAUGAGAAAGAAGGUGUGUACGUGACUUGAUCUUUGAACUUUAGCUCACCAUCUGGAAGAAGGCUGAGUAUUCUCUGCACUCACAUAGUAGCUAAUGCCUACUCCCCAGCCACCCACAAUUCUUUCUGUAGGAAGGCUCGCUAGAAUACUUUGUGAUAUUGGAUAUUAGUUCCAUAUUCUACUGUGUAUCUUAGUUCAACCAAAUUGUAAUCAUCUGAUAUUUAUUUCUUUUAAUAUAAAUAUAAGUAUAUUAAGUCUUGGCAUGCUUGCUCAGUCUCUCUCUCUCUCCCAUUCCUCCCCGCUCCCCUCUCUCUUUCCCAACAGGCUUGGAAAGCAGGCAUCACCAUGCCUAUUUAACAGUUGGGGUCCCUUGGCCACCAGGUGCUGGAGUAGGAAUCUGAGCCCGGACAUGCCUGAUCUGUAAAUUUUGUGUUUUCCCCACUGUGCUGGGCAGAUCACAGCUAUCAGCGCCAAAUUCAUAGAAGGGGCGCCCCCUGUGGUCAAUUGAGGGAUUUGUGUUUGAGGUAGAUCUCAAGAAGGAAUGGGUGGGGAACUUAGCCUAGGACAGAGCAGAAAGGAGCCCUCACUCCCCAAGCACCAACGGCCUCAGUCCUUCCUGCUGACUCCAGCCUCUAGCUCUCACCCAGACUAUCUGCAUCCUUCUCUCCACCACGCUCCUUUGGAACCUGCGUAAAACACAGAUUAAAGGAAUUCCGCCUUACUUCCCUUUCCGCAUUAUGACCAAAUGGUUUUACACUAUCAUUGAACAGUUUAGUACAAAACAUGCCACCUUUUAAUCUAUUCAUUCAUUUAACAAAUACUUUGGAGUGUUUACCAUGUGCCAAGUGCUGUUCUAAUAGACAUAAGCUGUGAGGUUAUGCUUAUCUGAUUCUCACAGCAACAGCUUUCGAGAUAUGAAUUGGUAUACUCAUUUGACAGAUGAGGAAAUUGAAUUCAUGUAGUGAGAAAGGAAGAGCUGCAAUUCAGGGUUACUGGUUUCUCCUGCACUAAGCACUGAGCCACACUAGAAGAGAAGGCAUGAGGAAGACAAAAGUGAGAAGGUACGAGAGAAGAUAUUAAGUAGAGGUCUAUUAGUUCCUCUUAAAACUAUUUAUGAAAGAGGCGGAUGGGGUAGUGGAUGGGAAAGACAGAUGGAUUCAUGUUCUUCACUCCAGGUUUCCCCCCAUUCCCUUCCCUUUUAAAUGCCUGCUCAUUUUUUGGCUACCUUUCAAGCUCUAGGAAAUACUCUGGAAUUCCAGGCUGGGAGGGGUUUCCUUUGCAGAUCUGGCUAUUGUAACUUUACAAGAAAUUGCUCAAUACUUCCUCUCACCAGUUACAAACCACGGUUUUCUGAAUGAACUUUAUGUUCAUUAAACAGUUAACCCUUCAGCUUUCUGACUCACAUUUUUCAUGUUAUUAAUCAGCUCUUAGAGUAAGGUAAAAUCUAGAACAGACUUUAUAUACACCCUCCCUCCCACACACAUAUACAUACAUAAUACAAACACAGACCACACAUGUCCACAUCCUUAUGCGCAAACACUAAGAAACACACGCAUACACAAACAUACAUGUACACAAAAUUAAAUACAUAGCUAUGGCACUUUCACUAUACAUGUAAACACCCUUACACACAUACAAAUGUACAUGCGCGUGUGCGCACACACAUAUGGAAUUAGCUUUUUCUCUUUGUGGGAGGAGGGAAAUGAAAAGACCCAAAACAUUCAGAUUCCCAAAUGGACACGUAAGAACCCCGUCAUGGAAAUAGGUCUGGGUUUUUUUCUCUUUUGAGGGAAGCAGGGCGUUUCUGGUUACUGUCGCCAUUGCCAUUGUGCCCCUGCUUACCAUCCCCCUGCACCGCCCCCCCGGCCCCCGCCCGCCACUGCUAGGGUUUACAGGUCAUCCCUGGAUUAAAUAAGUGAUAUUGUGUUUUUUUUUCUUUGACACAAAGUAAAAUUAUAAUUAAUAUUGAAUAAAGUAAAAAUGAACUCCUGAGUUCCAGUCCCUUAUGUAACACACCUGGUUUGUGGCAGGCACUCAGGAAAUAUUAGUUGCAUGAACGAAGGCUGCAUUUUCAUUAGAACAACAUGCAGUUCAACCCCUUCAUGUUUCAAUGAGGGUUCAGAUACCCAGAGGGCUAUGCUAUCAUCCUGGAGCCCACUCUGCUAACAAUUAGCAGAACGGAAGCCUUAAUUUCCAGAUUCUAGUGAACUUGAUGAGUCAAGACUAUUGCAAUUGGAAAUCUGUUCUCCUCUGCUGCUGCAUUCCCUGCUUAAUACUCAAGCCAGAAACCAGGAAGGUAUGUGCCACAAAGUAAAGUGGGAUUCAGGACAAUUAUCCAUCAAGACUUUGUUACAGAUAUCCAAAGCAGGCAAUUCAAGACCCAGCUUGACUUUACUGUCUCCAUUGUGGUGGUUAAUGGAGACAAAUUCAAUUCAAAUAUGUGCACGUGGAUUUCUUUGUUUCUCUGAGGUUUGACUUAUCUGCCAAAAGAGAGAAACACAGAAAGAGGGGAGAAACAGGAGAGGGGAAAGAGAGAGGAGAGAGAAACCAAGGAAAUGUGACAUAUAAUAAUUUUUUAAAGAAUAUUUUUUCAUUUUUUUAUUGAGGUAUAAAAUACAUGUAGUAAGGUAUGUCAAUAACUCAAAUCUUAUGUGAUUUUUUUAUGUACAUGUAUACCUGUGUACACCUGUGUAACCACUACCUAAGUCAAGAUAGAGAACAUUUUAAUCAUCUUAAAAGAUUUCCUGUGUCUCUUCCCACCAAUACCUGCUGAUGAGCCCACUCUCCUUACAGCUAUCAGCAGAGUUGUUUUACCUGUCCUUGAACUUAAUAUAAAUGUAAUUAUACUGUAUAUGCUCUUUUGUGUCUGAUUUCUUUCACCCAACGUACUUGUUGGUUUAGUCCAUGUUGUGUAUAUCAGCAGUUUGUUUUUGUUAAGUAGCAGUGUUCCAUUGUAUAAAUGGACCAUAUUUUAUCCUUCAUGUUAAUGAACAUUUGAAUUGUUUUCAUGUUCUUGUUAUGAAUCAACAUGGUUAUGAAUAGUUUGGUUAUGAAGAGUUUUACACAUGUUUUUAGUCUAUUUUGUUUCUCUUAAAUAUAUACUUAGUCACGGGAUUACUGGUCAUAUAGUAUAGGCAGGCAGAUGUUCAGCUUUAAUUGACACAACCAACUGUUUUUGAAAGGGGUUGAGGCAAUUCACACACAAUAAAUAACAAUAUAUAAAAGUUCCAA